AUUGAACGCUGGCGGCAGGCCUAACACAUGCAAGUCGAAAGAGUGGCGGACGGGUGAGUAAUGUCUGAGAAACUGCCUGAUGGAGGGGGAUAACUACUGGAAACGGUAGCUAAUACCACAUACCAUCAUAUUUACCGAGAUGGGAUUAGCUAGUUGGUGGGGUAACGGCUCACCAAGGAGACGAUCCCUAGCUGGUCUGAGAGGAUGACCAGCAACCCUGGAACUUAGACACGGUCCAGACUCCUACGUGAGGCAGCAGUGGGGAUUAUUGCACAAUGGGCGCAAGCCUGAUGCAGCCAUGCCGCGUGUAUGAAGAAGGCCUUCGGGUUGUAAAGUACUUUCAGCGGGGAGGCGUUACCCGCAGAAGAAGUACCGGCUAACUCCGUGCCAGCCGCCGCGGUAAUAC
rnacentral:rRNA from 1 species